rnacentral:tRNA from 1 species
GCAGCUUUGGCCUACUGGUUAGCGCUUCGGACUUGUAACCGGAGGGUUGCCGGUUCGAACCCCGACCAGUAGGCA